UACCAGCACCCCGAGUGGUCGGGACGAUUAUUGGGCCUAAAGCCUCCGUAGCCGGUACUGCAAGUCUUCCGUUAAAUCCACCUGCUCAACAGUUGGGCUGCGGAGGAUACUACAGCGCUAGGAGGCGGGAGAGGCAAGCGGUACUCAUUGGGUAGGGGUAAAAUCCACUGAUCCAUUGAAGACCACCAGUGGCGAAGGCGGCUUGCCAGAACGCGCUCGACGGUGAGGGAUGAAAGCUGGGGGAGCAAACCGG
rnacentral:rRNA from 1 species